ensembl:lncRNA
CUCCAGAACCCCUGCUCUUGGCCACCAUGUUAGUCCCUCCAAACGAACUCAGUCCUUACCAGACCACUGUGUGGAAAGUAUUAUCAUCAUCCCAUUUAACAGAUGAGGGAACCGAGGCAGAGGAACUCCAAACUACUAUUUCAAGAUACUGGUAUUUGGAUGUAGAUUUGAAGACCAAGCCUUCCCCCUGCAUUCCCCAUUGCCCAAGGCUGGUCCCACACAAGGGCCCUAACCUCUCCUGGGUCAGCAGCCCAGGUGGCAGGAUGUGCGUCCACAGGACCUGGCCUUGGGCAGCCCUUGUUUCCUCCCUGGAGGAAGCAGCAGAUGCCCCCAGCUGUGCUGGGGGACUUCCCAGUCUUUUGAUGUAAGCCUAGGUCUGAGUCUCUGGGCUUGGAGGGAAGGGGCAGGAGUUAGGAGAGGUGUCCAGCAGGUUGGUGCUGUUCUGGCAAGCUCUGGGACUCCACAUGUCCUGCUAACCACAGUGAUGAGAUGCUAACUGCAUCUCUUGUGCAGAGAUGCUCUCCCGGGAUGGUGAAAGAAGCUGAGGGGCUGCACUUUCCUGGAGUAGAAAUGAGCCCCGGGGCCUUGUGGGCUUCUGGCUGGGCUGUGGUCCACAUGAGGCAGAGCUCCAAGCAAGCUCUCUGGCACUUGUGAUGGUGAAAGUUUCUGUUUUGGGGAAGGAGCUGCCUGGUUAUCCUCAUACUGUCCUUGGGGCAUCAAUGUGGGGGCCUGGGCUUCCCAACCCCCUCGGGGGUGCUGUCUCGGGUACAGUGAGUCUCCCAGCUGGUGUCACUACCCACAGAGGCUUACAUCCCAAGGCCUGUAAUUUCCAUGUUGGACUCAGGACUUGGGAACUGGUGAGACCACAUUGACUCCUCUGCCAGGAGCCCUGCCUGCCAGCCUGCAUGAGCGCUCCUGGUCAGCUUCCUGGGUCAGACCUUGCUUUGGACCCCAAGAGAAGAGAAACAGGCCCAAGAGAGCAUUUGGAGGGGAGAGAGGAGGAAAGAACCUGGCUCAGAAGAUGGUGCUGUCCCCUCAAGUCUUCCUAAACUCUAAGUAGUGUCCCUCUGCCAAGUUCCACUCUGGCCCUUGCCCCUGGCCAUCUCUCCUGCUCAUCAAAGUAAAGGCCAGGCCCCCUCUGCACCUUCACAGCGUGGACCCAGCCAGGGUAAUUCUAGCUCCUGCUCCCUUCCUCUCUACCAAAGCCAUAUGCACAGGCAGAUAUUCAAAAAGACUGCAGGGCCAGCUCAACUUGUCCUGUGGGGAAGGCAGCAGAACGCGCUAGGCAGGGCCUUCUCCAAAAUACCUCCUGCUCACCCCAGUAAUGGUGCCUGAGAUUCCGCCAUUAGAGUCAUGUCAUGUGGACAAAUAUCUUACAAGGUCAGCAUCAAAAGGGAACUUGGGGAUCAUCAGGUCUAACCCUCUCAUUUUACAGGAGGGGAAAAUGAGGCCCAGGGCUGGGCAGGAACCAAGCCUCAGCCUCCCAGCCCAGGGCUCUUGCUGCCACUUGAAGUGCCACUGCAAGGCCUGUGUGGACUUCCCUGGUGGUCCAGGGGAUUAGAAUCCGCCUGCCAAUGCAGGGGACGCAGGUUUGAUCCCUGGUCCAGGAAGGUCUCACAUGCCGCGGGCAACCAAAGCCUGAGUGCCACAGCUGCUGGGCCAGCACUCUAGAGCCCCUCCACAAGAGAAGCCACCACAGUGAGAAGUCCGAGCACCGCAGCUGGAGAGUAGCCCCGGCUCACUGCAACUAGAGAGCCGGCACAUGGCAGCGAAGACCCAGCACAACU